AAAAUCGGGGCACGGUCAUCGUGGAGCGCUGGUGGAAGGUACCGCUGGCCGGGGAGGGCCGGAAGCCGCGCCUGCACCGGCGACAUCGCGUCUAUAAGCUGGUGGAGGACACGAAGCAUCGGCCCAAAGAAAACCUGGAGCUCAUCCUGACGCAGUCGGUGGAGAGUAAGGCCCGGGCCGAGGCGCUUCCUCUCAGGCUGAUGUUGGAGUCCGGGGUGACCUGGUCUCAGUGAAGAAAUCUUUAGGCCGGAAUCGACUCCUUCCUCAGGGACUGGCUGUAUAUGCAUCCCCUGAAAACAAGAAGCUGUUUGAAGAGGAGAAAUUGCUGAGACAAGAAGGAAAAUUAGAGAAGAUCCAGACCAAGGCAGGUGAGGCGACCCAAGAGUGGGAGAAAGGGGAAGUGUUGUGGCUGCCCCACAAAACAGACAGUGAAAUUUCUAAAAAGCUGUCGCCUGGAGGUAGGGAUGAAGAACAAUGUCAAAUGGGAGCUGAACCCUGAAAUA
rnacentral:lncRNA from 1 species